CAUAAACAAGAUGCAGCACUCUUGAAAUGUAACUAUCAUCACACUUGUGCAGAUGAGGAAACUGAGUCCUGAAAUCCUUUGGCAAAAGACAUUAGAACUUUGAAGGAGUAUGCUGGGGAUCUAAAAACUUCACUGGGGUUCAGCGCCGCUCUUCAGUGCCAUGACGUAAGUAAGACAGUGAAGUGCUGAACACACACAUAAAAUCGUCAGUGGAAACUGCAGGUGGGUUUUUUCUUAACAAAAAUCCUUAUUAACAAGAAAUGGUAUUUCAGGUCUUUCUGGUGGUUUGUGCGCUUUGUGAAGCACGUUUUUCAAGAUACUUAUCUGGAAAUGACCAACUAACUCUUAACGGGACCCAGAGUCUUGGUUUUGGUUUCGCUUGAGCCUCUGGGACGGGGUAGGAUGCCACGCCCCUGUGAGCACUCAUGAAGAAGCCGUGUCUCACACCCUGGUGGGGGCUUUAAAAAACGUAUAUAUUUUAGAUUUCAGAAAUAGAGAAGGAUUCGACUGUGUAAAUGUUUCUAAAGCCCUAACGUUCAGCCUCCUGUCUGAUGACUCAGGUGAAAGGCAGCGGUAUCCACUUCCUCACCAGGGGAAUGGGAGGCUUGUCCCUGUCUGCUUAGAUGGCCCUGAGUCCUGCCCCUCUGUCCCUUGGCCACAUCAACGUGGCAGGGCCACCGGGGCCUCUGGUCCCUGCCCACAGCCGGUGGGGGUUGGUGCUGUGUCCUCUCACCAGGACGACAGCUUUGGCAGUUUUCUCUUGGUAAGCGUCCACGCUAUGAGCCUGCAGAGCCAAGUCCAAUUCGAAACAUGCACCGGAAAUGAAAAGAGAAAGGAGUCUAAUUUCCUUCAGUAGUGCCCUUGUUUUGGUGGUCACCUAAGUACCAUCUGACGCUGCCUACAGCCCUCAUUGCAAAUGCAAUUUUGAUGCCAUUGAUGAGAGAUCUGGGAUUACAAUUCCUGACCAUUUCAACAGACAUUUGGGGAAGGAAAUGGAAGAAGAAUAAUUUUGAGGCCUCUCCAAAAACCAAAGGAGAAUAAAAGCUGAAGUUAACUGUGCUCAUCAUUUUGGGACUCGACACCCAGCCGACACUGAGAAAUGGCAGCUUUCAGUUAAACAAAUGCAAAGCUGUAUUUAGGCUCUUUCGCAACAUUGUGAUGAGAAGAAAUGAAAGAGUCUUCGGCUGCUAUUUUUAAAAUACUCACCAGGGCAAUUCCAUCAGAAAUACGAUAUGUUACGAUAGCUUUUAUAUUUUGAUCCUUUCUUUUCAAGAAUAACAUGUGGGAGAAACCCCAGAUCCAAUGAAAACAAUUUUAAAAAGUCAAUUUGAACAAAUGCUGCUGGGCUGUUGGUUAGAGUUAUUUAAAAAAAUUCUUGGACUCUUCAAGCAUGGUGGCCGGAGCAACGUUACAAGAGGAAGGAGAAGCAUACAGUCCAUGGAAGGAGUGGCAAAGUCCGGGAUCCUCACGAAAUGUUUCCUUUACCUUUGCUAAUUGUAAAAUAAACAUGUGUCCCCUGCUCCA